rnacentral:rRNA from 1 species
UACGAGGGGGGCAAGCGUUGUUCGGAAUUAUUGGGCGUAAAGGGUGCGUAGGCGGCGCGGUAUGUCUCUUGUGAAAUCUCCAGGCUCAACUUGGAGUCUGCAAGGGAAACUGCCGUGCUUGAGUACUGGAGAGGUGAGUGGAAUUCCCGGUGUAGCGGUGAAAUGCGUAGAUAUUGGGAGGAACACCAGUGGCGAAGGCGGCUCACUGGACCGGUACUGACGCUGAGGCGCGAAAGCGUGGGGAGCAAACGGG